rnacentral:rRNA from 1 species
CGGGCGACGCGCCGGUCUAAGUCCCUUGGAACGGGGCGUCAUAGAGGGUGAGAAUCCCGUACGUGACCGGUGACCGAGCCUAUGUGAACCUCCUUCGACGAGUCGAGUUGUUUGGGAAUGCAGCUCAAAAUGGGUGGUAAAUUUCAUCUAAAGCUAAAUACCGGCCAGAGACCGAUAGCGCACAAGUAGAGUGAUCGAAAGAUGAAAAGCACUUUGGAAAGAGAGUCAAAAAGUACGUGAAAUUGUUGAAAGGGAAGCGCUUGCAACCAGACCUGCCCGCGGGUGAUCAACCGUCCUUCUGGGCGGUGCACUCGCCCGCGAUCAGGCCAGCAUCGGUUCGGGCGGCCGGAUAAAGGCCUUGGGAACGUAGCUUCUCUCGGGGAGUGUUAUAGCCCUUGGUGCAAUGCGGCCAGCCUGGACCGAGGACCGCGCUUCGGCUAGGAUGCUGGCGUAAUGGUUGUAAGCGGCCCGUCUUGAAACACGGACCAAGGAGUCUAACAUCUAUGCGAGUGUUUGGGCGUCAAACCCAUACGCGUAAUGAAAGUGAACGGAGGUGGGAACCCCUUGGGGCGCACCAUCGACCGAUCCAGAUGUCUUCGGAUGGAUUUGAGUACGAGCAUAACUGUUGGGACCCGAAAGAUGGUGAACUAUGCCUGAAUAGGGUGAAGCCAGAGGAAACUCUGGUGGAGGCUCGCAGCGGUUCUGACGUGCAAAUCGAUCGUCAAAUUUGGGCAUAGGGGCGAAAGACUAAUCGAACCAUC